rnacentral:rRNA from 1 species
UACAGAGGGGGCAAGCGUUAUUCGGAAUUAUUGGGCGUAAAGGGCGCGUAGGCGGCCCGCUAAGUCGAACGUGAAAUCCCUGGGCUCAACCCAGGAACUGCGUCCGAUACUGGCAGGCUUGAAUUCGGGAGAGGGAUGCGGAAUUCCAGGUGUAGCGGUGAAAUGCGUAGAUAUCAGGAGGAACACCGGUGGCGAAGGCGCCUAUCUGGCCCAAUACUGACGCUGAGGCGCGAAAGCUAGGGGAGCAAACGGG